rnacentral:rRNA from 1 species
UUAAGUUAUUAAGGGCGCACGGUGGAUGCCUUGGCACUAGAAGCCGAUGAAGGACGUUACUAACGACGAUAUGCUUUGGGGAGCUGUAAGUAAGCUUUGAUCCAGAGAUUUCCGAAUGGGGAAACCCAGCAUGAGUUAUGUCAUGUUAUCGAUAUGUGAAUACAUAGCAUAUCAGAAGGCACACCCGGAGAACUGAAACAUCUUAGUACCCGGAGGAAGAGAAAGAAAAUUCGAUUCCCUUAGUAGCGGCGAGCGAAACGGGAAGAGCCCAAACCAAAAAGCUUGCUUGUUGGGGUUGUAGGACACUCUAUACGGAGUUACAAAGGACGACAUUAGACGAAUCAUCUGGAAAGAUGAAUCAAAGAAGGUAAUAAUCCUGUAGUCGAAAAUGUUGUCUCUCUUGAGUGGAUCCUGAGUACGACGGAGCACGUGAAAUUCCGUCGGAAUCUGGGAGGACCAUCUCCUAAGGCUAAAUACUCUCUAGUGACCGAUAGUGAACCAGUACCGUGAGGGAAAGGUGAAAAGCACCCCGGAAGGAGAGUGAAAUAGAACCUGAAACCGUGUGCUUACAAGUAGUCAGAGCCCGUUAAUGGGUGAUGGCGUGCCUUUUGUAGAAUGAACCGGCGAGUUACGAUUUGAUGCAAGGUUAAGCAGUAAAUGUGGAGCCGUAGCGAAAGCGAGUCUGAAUAGGGCGUUUAGUAUUUGGUCGUAGACCCGAAACCAGGUGAUCUACCCUUGGUCAGGUUGAAGUUCAGGUAACACUGAAUGGAGGACCGAACCGACUUACGUUGAAAAGUGAGCGGAUGAACUGAGGGUAGCGGAGAAAUUCCAAUCGAACCUGGAGAUAGCUGGUUCUCUCCAAAAUAGCUUUAGGGCUAGCCUCAAGUGAUGAUUAUUGGAGGUAGAGCACUGUUUGGACGAGGGGCCCCUCUCGGGUUACCGAAUUCAGACAAACUCCGAAUGCCAAUUAAUUUAACUUGGGAGUCAGAACAUGGGUGAUAAGGUCCGUGUUCGAAAGGGAAACAGCCCAGACCACCAGCUAAGGUCCCAAAAUAUAUGUUAAGUGGAAAAGGAUGUGGCGUUGCCCAGACAACUAGGAUGUUGGCUUAGAAGCAGCCAUCAUUUAAAGAGUGCGUAAUAGCUCACUAGUCGAGUGACACUGCGCCGAAAAUGUACCGGGGCUAAACAUAUUACCGAAGCUGUGGAUUGUCCUUUGGACAAUGGUAGGAGAGCGUUCUAAGGGCGUUGAAGCAUGAUCGUAAGGACAUGUGGAGCGCUUAGAAGUGAGAAUGCCGGUGUGAGUAGCGAAAGACGGGUGAGAAUCCCGUCCACCGAUUGACUAAGGUUUCCAGAGGAAGGCUCGUCCGCUCUGGGUUAGUCGGGUCCUAAGCUGAGGCCGACAGGCGUAGGCGAUGGAUAACAGGUUGAUAUUCCUGUACCACCUAUAAUCGUUUUAAUCGAUGGGGGGACGCAGUAGGAUAGGCGAAGCGUGCGAUUGGAUUGCACGUCUAAGCAGUAAGGCUGAGUAUUAGGCAAAUCCGGUACUCGUUAAGGCUGAGCUGUGAUGGGGAGAAGACAUUGAGUCUUCGAGUCGUUGAUUUCACACUGCCGAGAAAAGCCUCUAGAUAGAAAAUAGGUGCCCGUACCGCAAACCGACACAGGUAGUCAAGAUGAGAAUUCUAAGGUGAGCGAGCGAACUCUCGUUAAGGAACUCGGCAAAAUGACCCCGUAACUUCGGGAGAAGGGGUGCUCUUUAGGGUUAACGCCCAGAAGAGCCGCAGUGAAUAGGCCCAAGCGACUGUUUAUCAAAAACACAGGUCUCUGCUAAACCGUAAGGUGAUGUAUAGGGGCUGACGCCUGCCCGGUGCUGGAAGGUUAAGAGGAGUGGUUAGCUUCUGCGAAGCUACGAAUCGAAGCCCCAGUAAACGGCGGCCGUAACUAUAACGGUCCUAAGGUAGCGAAAUUCCUUGUCGGGUAAGUUCCGACCCGCACGAAAGGCGUAACGAUUUGGGCACUGUCUCAACGAGAGACUCGGUGAAAUCAUAGUACCUGUGAAGAUGCAGGUUACCCGCGACAGGACGGAAAGACCCCGUGGAGCUUUACUGUAGCCUGAUAUUGAAAUUCGGCACAGCUUGUACAGGAUAGGUAGGAGCCUUUGAAACGUGAGCGCUAGCUUACGUGGAGGCGCUGGUGGGAUACUACCCUAGCUGUGUUGGCUUUCUAACCCGCACCACUUAUCGUGGUGGGAGACAGUGUCAGGCGGGCAGUUUGACUGGGGCGGUCGCCUCCUAAAAGGUAACGGAGGCGCUCAAAGGUUCCCUCAGAAUGGUUGGAAAUCAUUCAUAGAGUGUAAAGGCAUAAGGGAGCUUGACUGCGAGACCUACAAGUCGAGCAGGGUCGAAAGACGGACUUAGUGAUCCGGUGGUUCCGCAUGGAAGGGCCAUCGCUCAACGGAUAAAAGCUACCCCGGGGAUAACAGGCUUAUCUCCCCCAAGAGUUCACAUCGACGGGGAGGUUUGGCACCUCGAUGUCGGCUCAUCGCAUCCUGGGGCUGUAGUCGGUCCCAAGGGUUGGGCUGUUCGCCCAUUAAAGCGGUACGCGAGCUGGGUUCAGAACGUCGUGAGACAGUUCGGUCCCUAUCCGUCGUGGGCGUAGGAAAUUUGAGAGGAGCUGUCCUUAGUACGAGAGGACCGGGAUGGACAUACCUCUGGUGUACCAGUUGUCGUGCCAACGGCAUAGCUGGGUAGCUAUGUGUGGACGGGAUAAGUGCUGAAAGCAUCUAAGCAUGAAGCCCCCCUCAAGAUGAGAUUUCCCAACUUCGGUUAUAAGAUCCCUCAAAGAUGAUGAGGUUAAUAGGUUCGAGGUGGAAGCAUGGUGACAUGUGGAGCUGACGAAUACUAAUCGAUCGAAGACUUAAUCAA